rnacentral:rRNA from 1 species
UCCCGUUGAUCCUGCGGGAGGCCGCUGCUAUUGGAAUCCGACUAAGACAUGCAAGUCAGGGGACUUCGGUCACCGGCAAAAGGCUGAGUAACACGUCGAUAAUCUGCCCUAAGAUUGAGGAUAGCCUUGGUAACCUGAGGGUAAAACUCAAUAGGAAAUUACAACUGAAAUGUGCUUUUUCUGAAACGUAAGGUCUUAGGAUGAGUCGGCGGCAGAUUAGGUUGUUGGUGAGGUAAAGGCUCACCAAGCCAAAGAUCUGUAUGGGCCAUGAAAGUGGUAGCCCACAGAAGGACACUGAGAUACUGGUCCUAGCCCUACGGGGUGCAGCAGUCGCGAAACCUUUACAAUGCACGAAAGUGUGAUAAGGGGAUUCCAAGUGCUCAUGCAACGCAUGGGCUUUUGCCAAGGGUAAAUACCUCGGCGAAUAAGUGGUGGGUAAGACUGGUGCCAGCAGCCGCGGUAACACCAGCGCCACAAGUGGGGGCCGUUUAUUUGGUCUAAAGCGUCCGUAGCCGGUUUUGUAAAUUUUCUGUGAAAUCAUUCUGCUUAACAGGAUGGCGUGCAGGAAACACUGCAAAACUUGGGACCGGGAGGAGCUCGAAGUAUUUCAGGGGGAGCGGUAAAAUGCUUUAAUCCCUGGAGGACUACCGAUGGCGAAGGCAUCGAGCCAGAACGGAUCCGACGGUGAGGGACGAAAGCUAGGGGAGCGAUCCGGAUUAGAUACCCGAGUAGUCCUAGCUGUAAACGCUGCGAGCUAGGUGUUGCAUAUUCUCCAAGAAUGUGCAGUGUCGAAGCGAAGGCGAUAAGCUCGCCACCUGGGGAGUAUGGUCGCAAGACUGAAACUUAAAGGAAUUGGCGGGGGAGCACUACAAGGGGUGCGGCGUGCGGUUUAAUCUAACUCAACGCAGAGAAUCUCACCAGCAGCGACGGCAAGAUGAUAGUCAGUCUAAAGGGCUUACUGGAUGAGCCGAGAGGUGGUGCAAGGCCGUCGUCAGCUCGUGCCGUAAGGUGUCCUGUUAAGUCAGGCAACGAGCGAGACCUGUACCUAUAAUUGCCAGCGGCAGAAUUUCUGGACCGGGCACAUUAUGGGGACUGCCUUGGAAACAAGGAGGAAGGUGCAGGCUACGGUAGGUCUGUAUGCCCCGAAUCUGCUGGGCUACACGCGCGCAACAAUGGUAGGAACAAUGGGCUGCGACUCUGAAAAGAGAAGCUAAUCCUUCAAAUCCUAUCUUAGUCCAGAUCGUGGGUUGCAACUCACCCACGUGACGCUGGAAUCCCUAGUAAUCAGAUGUCAUCAUCAUCCGGUGAAUAUGUCCCUGCUCCUUGCACACACCGCCCGUCAAAUCAACCGAGCAGGGUUUAGGUAAACCUUAACUUAUUGGUUAAGUCGAACCUGAGCUCAGUGGGGUGGGUUAAGUCGUCACAAGGUA